rnacentral:rRNA from 1 species
CUGGCUCAGAUUGAACGCUGGCGGCAGGCCUAACACAUGCAAGUCGAGCGGUAGCACAGAGAGCUUGCUCUCGGGUGACGAGCGGCGGACGGGUGAGUAAUGUCUGGGAAACUGCCUGAUGGAGGGGGAUAACUACUGGAAACGGUAGCUAAUACCGCAUAAUGUCGCAAGACCAAAGUGGGGGACCUUCGGGCCUCAUGCCAUCAGAUGUGCCCAGAUGGGAUUAGCUAGUAGGUGGGGUAACGGCUCACCUAGGCGACGAUCCCUAGCUGGUCUGAGAGGAUGACCAGCCACACUGGAACUGAGACACGGUCCAGACUCCUACGGGAGGCAGCAGUGGGGAAUAUUGCACAAGGGCGCAGCUGAUGCAGCCAUGCCGCGUGUGUGAAGAAGGCCUUCGGGUUGUAAAGCACUUUCAGCGGGGAGGAAGGCGAUAAGGUUAAUAACCUUGGCGAUGACGUACCCGCAGAGAACCACCG